GCGUACAUCAACAACAUUUCUUAAAUGAUCAAAGUUAAGGCAUUCUAAAGAUUAUAGAAUUUAAAAUAUAGGUCAACCAAAUUAUUAGUCAAUCGUUAAAUUAAUAAAUUCCCAUAUUUUAACCAAACCAACCUGCAUUAACCAAAUACUAUAAAUGAAAACCAAACCAAAUCAAAAUCAAGUUUUCAGUUUGGUUUAUUG
rnacentral:misc_RNA from 1 species